UAAGGAAUAUUGGUCAAUGGACGAAAGUCUGAACCAGCCAUCCCGCGUGCAGGAAGAAGGGGCUCUGCCUUGUAAACUGCUUUUGAAUGGGACGAAAGAGCUAUAUGCGUAUAGUGUUGACGGUACCAUUAGAAUAAGCACCGGCUAACUCCGUGCCAGCAGCCGCGGUAAUACGGAGGGUGCAAGCGUUAUCCGGAAUUACUGGGUUUAAAGGGUGCGUAGGCGGUGUGUCAAGUCAGUUGUGAAAUCUCCGAGCUUAACUCGGAACGGUCAACUGAUACUGUCACACUAGAGUACAGAAGGGGCAAUCGGAAUUCUUGGUGUAGCGGUGAAAUGCGUAGAUAUCAAGAGGAACACCUGAGGCGAAGGCGGGUUGCUGGGCUGAUACUGACGCUGAGGCGCGAAAGCUAGGGUAGCAAACGGGAUUAGAUACCCUAGUAGUCCCUGAGCGGGCUGGCAAGGCGCAU
rnacentral:rRNA from 1 species